CUCCGCCAAUCUCAUCAAGCAAAUGGUUUAAGGAUUAGGAAGCUGUCAAGGUGUGUGUUCCCAGGCUCGAGAUGGUAAUUGAAUGAUCACACUAUCAAUGACAAUCCAAGUAAAUGAGGCAGCGGCUCGCCUGCUGCCUUCAGAGUGCAAAAUUGAUUCAGCUUCUGUUGAUCGGGGAAAAAUGCUGACCUGACAUGCCAAGACCUUCAGUACAUGACUAAAAGGGUAGAGAGGAAGUGGAAGCAAAGCUGCAGGAAGAUGCUUGCAGGAGAUAAAAGACAGUUUCACUGUGGAUCACAAAUAGAAACUCUAUGAGAAGGCUCUUCUGGAGAUAGCAUGAUGAUGAUGAUGACGACGGCUACGGUGAUAAUAAUAAUAUCACUUUCCUGGCUACAAGAAUAGGCAAACUCUUAAGAUAUGAUGUUCUAUUAAUUCAAGAACAGAGCAAAGCAAAGCAUGCUUAAUUUGCAUAUCUUAAAGCUCUAUUACAUGACAGAAGCAGCCCAUUCACUUUUAGCUGUUCACAAUUCUGUUCAGGGGUUACCUCUGUGAUGACUUUUCCUUCUGAUUCCCUAAAUACCACUAUUAUUAUAUCGCAUCAUACUGUAAAAUACAAGUCCUGUGAAGACAGAACUGUGCUAUGUCCUCUUCUUAUUUGCAUCAAUGGACUGCUGAGAAAAAACUAGACCCUGAAGAGAGCAGACUGAACAAAUUCUACUAAGUCCUAGACAUAGGGUCACUUUGCCCAUGAAGACUCACAAUUUUCAAAAGACCCUGGGACAUAUAUGAUACCAUUGGUGCUGCUCUUAGAGUGAAGAAACUGGGAUUUGUCCAAGGCCACACAGAGCCUGUGAAGGCCAGAGCCAGGGUGAGUGAAUGCACCACGUGUAUAUACAAAUGGUACAGGGUGAGCGAAUGUACCACGAGUAUGUAUAAAUGGUACAGUUCAGCUCAGGCAUGGACGACAGAGAAGACAUGUUGUGUACAUCAAAAGAAAAGAAAUGAGGAGAAGAGAGAUGAAGGAACUAAGAAGCAGAGGAAAGGGAAACUGGGAAGAAAAAAGUUCAUUAUUCUACGAAGAGAAACCGGACUUGUAUGAUUUUAGCAAUGCAACCAUUUCUGGAGACUUCACUAUCUAGUGUAACCUGUACUUUGGUAAGUGAUAUUAUAUUUUCAACUACACUAAAAUUUUCCUCCUUUAGCUACAGCAAAGUAAACAAUCUAUUCUGUAAAACAUUUAUAAUUUAAACCUUUAAAGAAGAAAAUGGCAAAUUAGUCAACGUCUGAAUUACACACUACUUUGAGAAGUAUAGAUUGAUUGCUUCAAGAAAAUACUGCAAUGUAACAAGUUUUAAUUAAAAUUAUACUGAAAGAGUAUUUCCU
rnacentral:lncRNA from 1 species